rnacentral:lncRNA from 1 species
UACCAGGGAGUUUAAUUUUGUUUCUUCAAAGGUUUUGCUAUUAAUUACAUGAUAUUUCACUUAAUUACGACAUGAUUUAUCUUAUUCUAAAAAAAUAAUUUGAAGGCCGAAGAUGAUAUUUCAUUUCAAAUCUUUGAUCAUACUCCUUAUUUAUCAAAUAUAUAAAUUUCUUGAGUAAUUAAGAAAAUAUGCUGAAUAAGAUGUUCACACAUCGAAAUAGGGCCUAAAUGAAAGAGUUCAAUGUGCUGAACAAAAUAUUCGUACAUACAGACAGAGCCUUAUUCAUACAUCCAAAUAAAGCUUGAGGCCUUAUUUGGAUGUAGGAAAGUUAUUCAGUGAUAUUCUAUUCGGUAUAAAUUUCUUUAUUAUUAUUACAUGUACAGAAUAGAAUAGUAUAUUNCUAAUUUAUUAUUAAUAAAUAUUAAUAAUAAUUAUAAUAAUUAGAUAAUCAAUGUUAUUAUUAAUAAAAAUUAGAUAAUCGAUAUUAUUAUUAAUUUAUUAUUUAUAAUUAAUUAAUAAUAAUAAUUAAUAAUUAUUAUUUUUAUUAAUAAUUAUUAUCAACAAUUAGAUAAUUGAUAUUAUUAAUUUAUUAUUUAUAAUUAAUUAUAAAUAAUUAUUUAUUUAUUUAUUUUUAAGUAAUAUUUUGAUGUUAAUUAAUUAUAUAAUAUAAUUUUAAUUUCAAAUUAUAACUCUUAUUCCUCUUAUUCCAAUCUUACCAUCGAAAAAAUACUAUUUAUCUUAUUCCUAAAAAGAAUCCAAUUUUAAUCCAAACAAAAAUUUGGUCUAAAUCCUGCUUAUACCUGAACUUGUACCUAUCCCUGUAACAAGCAGUUCUUACUUAUAUCCGAACCAAACGCAGCCAAAGUGCGUAUAUUCAUAAUCGAUACAAGUUCACAUUCAAACGAACAAGAAUUUAAACCUCGUGGGAUAGUUCUAUUGUGCCCUAAGAGUGUAUGCUUGCGACGAAUAUGUUUUCGCAAUCAAACGAGCUAAUAUUGAGACAUCAUUAGACUAUUUUACUACACCCAAAGUAUGUAUAUUUAUAACCGAUACAAGUUCAUAUUCAAACG